CGCAUUUCUCGUUUUACUCUAUAUAGGUACGUGUAAAUCACUCCACGAAUGUGUGUGGUCGGUUUUCCUCCAAACCGACCUGACGCCAUUUUGAACUUAAACACGAGGCGUUCAUUUCGUUUCCUGCAACACGACAAGGCGGUUGAUGGUAAGUUCUGGUGCUUGCUAAUCAAGAAUUCUAGCAAUUUUUAUCUAAUUUUCUUAUUUUUCAGCAUUUCCUCGACUAGACUUUUCAACGCUCGAUCAACAUCGUGCACUCCUCGCGUCGGCGGCGGUCCAAGUAGCUCGUCACUCCCCGAACCCCGUGAUCAAAAAGUACAGGUAGCUGCAGUGGUCGAAGUCGGAGUGGCGGCAGGCAGCUCAUCAGGAAGUUGUCGAGUUCGAGACCUUCUCCACUCGUGCUCAGCAGCUCUGGUGUCGGCGGCGGUCCAGGGAACUGACCCUCUCACGCACGGCCGAGCUCGCAUCACCAGGAAGAUGAACAAUUCACGCUGAUCGGUGCAUUCGGAAUUCCUCGAAAACGACCUACAACGAAGAGGAUCUCCAGCGCUGACCACUGAAAUUCCGCUGGAACGAUCCCUCGCGGGGGACUGGACCGGUCCACACCUGGGUUCCGGAACAUCGACACAACGAAGAGGAUCUCCAGCGAUAACCACUGCAAUUCCGCUGGAUCGAUCUCGCGGAGGACUUGACCGGUACACACCUGGGUUCGGGAAGAUCGACACAACGAAUGAAAUCGCCAGCAAUGACCACUGAAAUUCCGCUUCAA